GCCCCUAGAGGUAAUAGAGGUGGAGCCUGCCCACUGAUGAAGGGCUGCAGAAUGUACGAAGGUAGCAUAAUCACUAGUCCUUUCAUUGUGGGCCUGGAUGAACGGUCUCACUGGGUAGACAGUCUUAUAACUCGAACCUGAGUUAGGGGUUAGAACGCCCCUAUCCCGCUCUGGGACAAGGAGACCCUAGGAGCUUCAGGAGGCCCUUGCUUGGGGCAAGCAGAGAGGAACCCAAUCCCCUCGUAGCUACCCUAGGGAUAACAGCGUACCUCUCACCUUCAGCACACAUGGGGAUGAGUGUCUACGACCUCGAUGUUGGAUUAUGAGGUGCAGGAGCCUCAGUCUGUUCGACUGGUGGUACCAUACA
rnacentral:rRNA from 1 species